rnacentral:misc_RNA from 1 species
AGAGCUAAAAAGGAGCUUGGGCAGGACGCAGCACGCGGAUCCUGUGUUGCAGUACUUUUCCCCCACGAUGCCUCGUAACCGCCUUGUGGUUGCCUGCAAUGCUUCGACUGCUGGGCGCCCGGCACAGUCUCUCGCGCUGAGUGUGUCGUUGUCCACCACGCUUCGAUCAUCGACUGCGUUGGCACUCACCAAGUCACUAGUCAACAUCACCACUCACCGAGGCAGUCGCCACUCGCUGUUGCACACCGCUGUGCGGCGCUACACAAACGUGCUCUACAGGCUUCCGCCAACGCAGACGAUCCCGACGCACUCCCCGUCCGGCGAGGAGGUGGACACGGAGCUCUUUGUUCGUCAAGUCCAGAACUUUUUCGAGGUGCUGCGGCGAUCACAGCUGAUUGAGCGGUUCUAUGAGAUGAAGAGCUGCCCCUACUACGAGUGCCUCUUCACAAACGACCUCUUCUUCCAGCACCACGAUCUGAUCAUCCCGAUGCCGAAGCACGGGCGCGAGCACCGGUCAGCGGAGAUUAGCGAAACCAUCCGGUACAUGCGCGGGUGGGGUGCCACUGGUGACGUGAACCACGUGCUGCAGGACGUGAAGGGUGGCCGUGCGAGCGGCGGCGACUUUAUUUCAACCACUCACGGCAUGCUGAUGGGCUACGGCACGUCGCGUACGAACAAGUUGUCAAUGAUGACCUUGACCGGCGCGAUUGCACCAUCGGAGGCGGCAGCCGAGCAGGCGCGUGCCUUGUGUGUGGAGCCGAUCGAGAUGCUGCCAGAUAGUCCUCCCUUAAGUGACGUGAUUGCCUUCGCGGGACAGCGCACGUUUGUCAUCAGCGACACGGAACACGGCCACAAUGCGGCGCAGCAGGCGGUGAAACGUAUUCAGAAAGUGCCGUGGCAGAUCAUCAAGCUUGAGCCUGGAUGCAGUUUUUUCUCGCAUCUGGGCGGUGUGAACUAUGUGUACGACGUGCUGUGCGAUCAAGACUUCCCCCUCUCGAUGGAGCGGCUGGGCGAGUCGGGCAUGAACCCGUUCCCUGUGGAGUGGUCGGAGCCCCGUAAGCUCGGUAUUACGAUGCGUAGCAUCUGCAUGACGGCACGUUUUACGCGCGGCACCAUGAACGCCGGUGGCUACGCCAACAGCAGAGGUCACGCGGCGUCCAGCUUUAACUACAACAGUCGCGACAUCUCCAAGAACUCGCGCCUGUUCGUCGGCGGAAGCCGCAAGCACGGCGAUCAGAUGGCACCCCUGGCGGCACAGCUAGAGGCGGACGAGAUCCAGAAGCCGGUGCACCAACCCAUCCCGCGGUACGCGGCACCCAUGCACCGGCGAGGAACGGUGGUGCCCACCGAGCCGUCCGCGUAGGCGGUGUGGAAGGCGACGCGGUGGUGAGUGCUUUCUAGGUGUUGUCGCGUGUUGGGUGGUGUUUUUUUUCGACGUCUUCUCACAGCUACGGAGCACGUUGUACCUUAUCGCGUUUCGAGGAGGAGGAAAAGGAAUCUUCGCAUCAUCUCAUGCAAAGAGAAGCCAAACGCCGUACAUGAUCGGGUAGCCGCUGCACUUACGGUCAUGAUGUGCGCAGGAGUGUGCCCACACUCACCUUUACUCUGAAGCAGGCGAG